AUGCCCUUCACGACUGUCGCACCAAAGUCCCUUGUCCUCCACACUCUCAAGUUUUCCUCCUACCCUCAGAGUGUCGUCAUAUCUCCGCUAGGUACUUCUGUGCCAGCCCCAGACUUCACCAAUGCGGAGAAAUCAAAAGCCUGAAAUAGGAAACACAGAGGGGACCCCCUCUGUGUUUCCUAUUUCAGGCUUUUGAUUUCUCCGCAUUGGUGAAGUCUGGGGCUGGCACAGAAGUACCUAGCGGAGAUAUGACGACACUCUGAGGGUAGGAGGAAAACUUGAGAGUGUGGAGGACAAGGGACUUUGGUGCGACAGUCGUGAAGGGCAUGGUGGGCGCAGGGCUGUGUCUCGUGUCCCCUAUGUGCCUUCUCCCACACCACCUUAGGGUCAGCAUAGCGGUGGGACAGGAGGUCACAGUGGACACUGAUGGACAUGCUGUGAGAAAAUAUGGCUCCCUUGUCAAGUUAAGACGUUUAUUCUGCCAACAGGGUUUUACUUUCCAUUUUCCCAGGGAACUGAGUGUUUGUCUGCAGGUGGAGUCAGAGGCUUGAUCUCUGUGUGUUGUGACACACAGCAGGUGACAUGACACUUGGUAGGAGGAGAGGACUCAGAUGGUUGUCUCUGGUGAAUAAUCGCUCUUGGUAGAGGUGCCCAGUCACUCUUUCGUGCUGUUGAUGAGUUGUGUCCCCAUGGAGAGAAUGAUGAAAGCGAGCUGCUGUUGCUGCUGUGAUAUUUCCACAGACCACGCAGACACUUCUUCCUUCCACCAUCACAUGACUCAAUUGCCUUUUUCAAGUCCCUCAAAAAGCGCAUGCCGGCAAUGGCCGAAUGUGGGGUGUGGGAAAUUCUGGGUCCCUGGGGAGAAAUUGGCCGUGGCCCGCCGUCAGGCUUGCGUGCUGUGACAUGAAGGUGCUGAACAGAAUGUCGUCCACCCUGCAGGGCGAUGGCAUCUUAGGAGUCAUUAGGGAUGCUGAAUUUCUGGAUGGGAGUUGGGCUGGAGCUUUAGCCAAG
rnacentral:lncRNA from 1 species